rnacentral:rRNA from 1 species
UUGGAGGGCAAGUCUGGUGCCAGCAGCCGCGGUAAUUCCAGCUCCAAUAGCGUAUAUUAAAGUUGUUGCAGUUAAAAAGCUCGUAGUUGAAUUUCGGGAUUGACGUGACGGUCAUGCCUUAAGGGGUAUGAACUGUUACUGUUGAUUUCUCACCUUCUGGAGAAACUUGAUGUCCUUUAUUGGGUGUCUUGCGGAUCCAGGACCUUUACCUUGAAAAAAUUAGAGUGUUUAAAGCAGGCAUUUUUGCUCGAAUACAUUAGUAUGGAAUAAUAGAGUAGGACGGCAUGGUUCUAUUUUGUUGGUUUCUAGGAUCACCGUAAUGAUUAAUAGGGAUAGUUGGGGGCAUUAGUAUUCAAUUGUCAGAGGUGAAAUUCUUGGAUUUAUUGAAGACUAACUACUGCGAAAGCAUUUGCCAAGGAUGCUUUCAUUAAUCAAGAACGAAAGUUAGGGGAUCGAAGACGAUCAGAUACCGUCGUAGUCUUAACCAUAAACUAUGCCGACUAGGAAUCAGACGAUGUUAAUUUUUUAAUGACUCGUUUGGCACCUUACGGAAACCAAAGUGUUUGGGUUC